CUCAGUGAUACACAGAACGGUUUUGUAAUAUGAGGAAGUAAACUACAUUAAGAGAGAAAAACACAGUCAUUACUGAGGACUGACUGUUGAGACAGAGCUGGAUUUGGGAAAAUUAUUACUGAGAUGAUUCAUAACUCACUCUGAGGAUCAAUAUCUGUAUCUGCUUUUAGAUGAAACCAUGGCCUCCAGAAUGAAUCUCUCUGAAGAACAUCACACACAGAUAAAGACAGUCAAGAGUCUGAUUCAGCGUUUUGAAUCAGGUUUACCUGAACACAUCGAUGUGUCUGUGAGGAAACAUCCUUCAGAUCUCUGCAGAGAGGAAGACUCUUCUGUUGAGUCCAGGAACGCUUGGAAUCCGGACCAGAGCACACACCUCACACACACAGAGUAACAGACUUCGGGAGCAGAUCACUGGAGCAGACAGACUGGGGUACACCGGAGACACAAGGCUGGAGAGAACACUGGAGGUAAGUACACAAAGAGGUAAGUAGCAGGUAAGACGCUGUGAUAGCAUAAGGAGUCUACUUCGUAUGAACGAGACCAGACAAUGAGGUGUUGUGAGGUGUGUGCUUAUAUGCCAGUGUUGAUUGGUGAUCAGAUGAUGUGCAGGUGUGGCUGAUUAUAACUCGGGUGAGGGGGUGCGCUGUGACUGGCUGGUGACAGAGCCUGGUUGAUCCGUAACACCCAUUGCCAUUGUUCAGUACUCAAGUGAAAGAGAUGAACAUUAAAGGGAGGUUGAAACAGUAAAGGCGUUUCUGUCAGAGCAGUGUGAGAUUUUCAGAAACAGUUUGUAGCAAAUUAGCUUAAAAGGGAAUUGUAUAUAAAUAAUUACAAUUACAAUUAUGUAUAUCGGCUGACAGUAAUAACUGUAGUAGAAUUAAAUUGCUAUCAACUGAUCUGUUCGUCCAGCGACCAUUCAGUGUAAGUUCAUAUCAACUCUAAGAAAGGAUAUUUUCAUGGCCACAGAAAAUACUUUCUUAAGUAUUAAUGUAUUAGAGCAUGUAGUAAGGAUCGAAAAUCGUAAAGGGACAUUAACUUGCAAGGCAGAACCAGAAACUCAUGUAAUUUGUGCACACAACUUUUAUUAACUAAACGCUAACACACAUAACUAAUCUAAACAAACAAACAAACAAACAAACAUACAGCAGAAGCAGAAGAGCUUUUUCAGAAGAGCGUGCAUAGGCGGAACUGUGCGUGAGCCCUCCAAGGUCUGCGAAGAGUCACACCUCUCAUGAUAGGCUUGACCAAUGAG